rnacentral:ribozyme from 1 species
UUUUUUUUUUUUUUUUUUUUUUUUUUCAAAUAUUUGUCUUGUAAAGUAGAUUUAAAUGAAAGUGAAACAGUAGUAGGAAAGUAGUAGCAGCCGCUCAUGCUGCUGCCAAACAACAACAGGAAAAACUAUGACA